UACGUAGUGGGCUAGCGUUGUUCGGAAUUACUGGGCGUAAAGCGCACGUAGGCGGACUUGUCAGUCAGGGGUGAAAUCCCAAGGCUUAACCUUGGAACUGCGUCGGAUACUGGAUGGCUUGAAUUCGGGAGAGGGAUGCAGAAUUCCAGGUGUAGCGGUGAAAUGCGUAGAUAUCUGGAGGAAUACCGGUGGCGAAGGCGGCAUCCUGGACAGACAUUGACGCUGAUGAGCGAAAGCUAGGGGAGCAAACGGG
rnacentral:rRNA from 1 species